rnacentral:rRNA from 1 species
ACUCCUACGGGAGGCAGCAGUGGGGAAUCUUGCGCAAUGGGCGGAAGCCUGACGCAGCAACGCCGCGUGAGGGAUGACGGCCUUCGGGGUUGUAAACCUCUUUCGCGAUCGACGAAGGCCCGUCUUGUGGCGGGUUGACGGUAGGUCGAGAAGAAGCACCGGCCAACUACGUGCCAGCAGCCGCGGUAAUACGUAGGGUGCGAGCGUUGUCCGGAAUUAUUGGGCGUAAAGAGCUCGUAGGCGGUGUGUCACGUCGGCCGUGAAAACCUGGGGCUUAACUCUGGGCGUGCGGUCGAUACGGGCAUCACUAGAGUUCGGCAGGGGAGACUGGAAUUCCUGGUGUAGCGGUGAAAUGCGCAGAUAUCAGGAGGAACACCGGUGGCGAAGGCGGGUCUCUGGGCCGAUACUGACGCUGAGGAGCGAAAGCAUGGGUAGCGAACAGGAUUAGAUACCCUGGUAGCGAGUAG